rnacentral:rRNA from 1 species
AUUGAACGCUGGCGGCAGGCCUAACACAUGCAAGUCGAGCGAGUGGCGGACGGGUGAGUAAUGUCUGGGAAACUGCCUGAUGGAGGGGGAUAACUACUGGAAACGGUCGCUAAUACCGCAUACCAUCAGAUGUGCCCAGAUGGGAUUAGCUAUUAGGUGGGGUAAAGGCUCACCAAGGGGACGAUCCCUAGCUGGUCUGAGAGGAUGACCAGUCACACUGGAACUGAUACACGGUCCAGACUCCUACGGGAGGCAGCAGUGGGGAAUAUUGCACAAUGGGCGCAAGCCUGAUGCAGCCAUGCCGCGUGUGGGAAGAAGGCCUUCGGGUUGUAAAGCACUUUCAGCGGGGAGGCGUUACUCGCAGAAGAAGCACCGGCUAACUCCGUGCCAGCAGCCGCGGUAAUUC